GUAGGUAACCUACCCUUGAGUGUGGAAUAAGCCCGGGAAACUGGGUACAAUACCGCAUGUUAUCCGACCGGCGCAUGUCGGACGGAUCAAAGCCUUCGGGCGCUCAGGGAUGGGCCUGCGUUCUAUUAGCUUGUUGGUGAGGUAAAGGCUCACCAAGGCUACGAUGGAUAGCUGGUCUGAGAGGAUGAUCAGCCACACUGGGACUGAGAUACGGCCCAGACUCCUACGGGAGGCAGCAGUGAGGAAUAUUGCGCAAUGGACGAAAGUCUGACGCAGCGACGCCGCGUGUGCGACGAAGCCCUUCGGGGUGUAAAGCACUGUCCAUUGGGAAGAAUGCCCACUACGGUGGGAGCGACGGUACCAAUGAAGAAAGCUCCGGCUAACUCCGUGCCAGCAGCCGCGGUAAUACGGGGGGAGCAAGCGUUGUCCGGAUUUACUGGGCGUAAAGGGCGUGUAGGCGGAAUGGUCAGUCGGUGGUGAAAUCUCUGGGCUUAACCCGGAAACUGCCUCCGAUACUUCCAUUCUUGAGUGCAGGAGAGGGUAGUGGAAUUCCCGGUGUAGCGGUGGAAUGCGCAGAUAUCGGGAGGAACACCCGUGGCGAAGGCGGCUACCUGGCCUGACACUGACGCUGAGGCGCGAAAGCGUGGGGAGCAAACAGGAUUAGAUACCCUGGUAGUCCACGCUGUAAACGAUGGGUACUAGGUGUCGGAGGAAUCGACCCCUCCGGUGCCGCAGUUAACGCAUUAAGUACCCCGCCUGGGGAGUACGAUCGCAAGGUUGAAACUCAAAGGAAUUGACGGGGGCCCGCACAAGCGGUGGAGCAUGUUGUUUAAUUCGAUCAACGCGAAGAACCUUACCUGGUCUGGAAGUGCAGCUGCUAAUCCGGUGAAAGCCGGACUCCCUUGAGGGUGCUGCAGAGGUGCUGCAUGGCUGUCGUCAGCUCGUGUCGUGAGAUGUUGGGUUAAGUCCCGCAACGAGCGCAACCCUUACCGUUAGUUGCCAUCAGGUCUUCGGAUGCUGGGAACUCUAACGGGACUGCCCGGGUUAACCGGGAGGAAGGUGGGGAUGAUGUCAAGUCCUCAUGGCCCUUACGACCAGGGCUACAAACGUGCUUCAAUGGGUGGAACAAAGGGUCGCGAGACCGCAAGGUGGGGCUAAUCCCAAAAAUCCAUCCCCAGUUCGGAUUGCAGUCUGCAACUCGACUGCAUGAAGUUGGAAUCGCUAGUAAUCGCUGAUCAGCAGGCAGCGGUGAAUACGUUCCCGGGCCUUGUACACACCGCCCGUCACACCAUGGGUGCCGGUAGCACCCGAAGUCGCUGAGCCAACCGCAAGGAGGCAAGCGCCGAAGGUGAGAUUGGUGACUGGGGUGAAGUCGUAACAAGGUA
rnacentral:rRNA from 1 species